rnacentral:rRNA from 1 species
GUCGAACGAUGGUCCACUUCGGUGGGGAUUAGUGGCGAACGGGUGAGUAACACGUGGGCAAUCUGCCCUGCACUCUGGGACAAGCCCUGGAAACGGGGUCUAAUACCGGAUACUGACCCUCACGGGCAUCUGUGAGGUUCGAAAGCUCCGGCGGUGCAGGAUGAGCCCGCGGCCUAUCAGCUUGUUGGUGAGGUAAUGGCUCACCAAGGCGACGACGGGUAGCCGGCCUGAGAGGGCGACCGGCCACACUGGGACUGAGACACGGCCCAGACUCCUACGGGAGGCAGCAGUGGGGAAUAUUGCACAAUGGGCGAAAGCCUGAUGCAGCGACGCCGCGUGAGGGAUGACGGCCUUCGGGUUGUAAACCUCUUUCAGCAGGGAAGAAGCGAAAGUGACGGUACCUGCAGAAGAAGCGCCGGCUAACUACGUGCCAGCAGCCGCGGUAAUACGUAGGGCGCGAGCGUUGUCCGGAAUUAUUGGGCGUAAAGAGCUCGUAGGCGGCUUGUCACGUCGGUUGUGAAAGCCCGGGGCUUAACCCCGGGUCUGCAGUCGAUACGGGCAGGCUAGAGUUCGGUAGGGGAGAUCGGAAUUCCUGGUGUAGCGGUGAAAUGCGCAGAUAUCAGGAGGAACACCGGUGGCGAAGGCGGAUCUCUGGGCCGAUACUGACGCUGAGGAGCGAAAGCGUGGGGAGCGAACAGGAUUAGAUACCCUGGUAGUCCACGCCGUAAACGGUGGGCACUAGGUGUGGGCGACAUUCCACGUCGUCCGUGCCGCAGCUAACGCAUU